UAAAAUUAGUUGGUGUUAAGUGGAUAACUCCAAAUCCAUUAUCUAUUUAUUUAAGGUCUCUUUAUUUAAAUCUUUUUGAGCCUUCUCUCUUUUGAGAGAGAGAGAGAGAGUUGUUCUCUCGAUUUCUUUUCUUCUUAUCUCUUUAAAAUCUUUCAAAAGAAGAGAUCUCGACGACUGUUUUUGUUUUCCAUUUCCGGAUCUUUCUGGUUAUGGUUCCCGAUAGAUCAGACUUUGAUUCCGGAAAGUAGCGGUUCUCUCAACAUUAUCUUUGUCGGCUUUUGUCUCCGAGAAGAGGUGUUCCCGUUAAAUCUCUUCGCCGGCUCUUCACCGGAUUUUUUUCCGGUUCAGUUUGAUCGCCGUUUUUGUCCUUCCAUGCUCUAUCGACUCUUGAUCUAAUCCUUCGAAGCCUUUCUCUCCCUGUAAUUAGGUUGUCUCAUCUUUAAGCUUAUUCCUAUCAACAAAGAUGGUUGCUCGUUCAUGCAGGAAGAUUGAAGUUCUUUUGGAUUGAUUGAAGACGGUGGCUUAUUUUCCGAAGCGGUGGUCCGGUUGCGUCUUGGCCUUUUGUGAAGACCAUUAUGUUGGUCUUUCACUGAUCCUUCUCCGUAUUGGCGGAGCUCCGACGUAACUCUUUCCGGUGGAAGUGGUGGUGCUUCGUCUUGACGCGUGUCUUAGAGUCGUUUGUCGCUCAGACACGUGGUGGCAGGUGUCGCUGACCUUCCUCAACGGUUUCCCUCUAUUGGGUUGUAGGCCCAUGGAGUUUUGUAAAUGCAGUCCGUUUGUUUAGGCCUUCUGUUUUUUCUUUGUGUUGGGCCGAGUUUUUUGUUGGGCUCUGUCCCAUUUUAAUAAAACUCCAGUUGAUAAAAAAAAAUCUCUUUGAUAUUCUCGAUGUAUAAUCUUUUCUCCAACACAAUCCUUAUUCAAGAGACUAUGUUCAUUUCUCUGCCCAAUAUCUCUGCUCCUCCAAGUUCUGGUAAUUUUUUAUUUUUUUUAAUUAAUGUAAAAUUUUAUUCAAACAAAAACAUUAUUAUAUCAAAUGCAACUUUUGUUUCUCUACGAAAAUUAAACCUCGUACUAAUAAAUGAUUAGCCUAUUUCUUCAUGAAUUUGGUCUUGCUCCAAACCAUGUUAUCAAUUCUUCUUCAAAAUACUUCCCUUAGCUUCAGCCUCACAUUUUUAUCCACAAACUUUAUCAAACUAGUCAUCUCUUUAGGCUUUUCACCAUGUCUGCGAGUGUUCAUCUCCCAUCAUAUUGUAUGCAUUGUAACUUGUAGAGUAUAUAUGAAAAUGAAAGUCUUUAUGGGUGUUAGCCAUGGUUUGUAGACAAUCACAAUCAGAUCACUCCAGUUUGCAGUGAACAUAUCUUGCAUAAGCCAUUCACUCAAGUUCUGGGCGUGUGGACAGGACAAUGUGUAUGGAGACAGGAAACUGGUGUCCACUCUCCUCCCUGGGGAAGAACAAGUCGCAGCUGCAGUAUCAGCUUGAUUUAGAUUCAUGUCUUAUGUGUCCCCUUUCUCUCUUUCCUCUUCUCUGUUUUUAUUAGUACACUCUCUAUCUCUUACUUGCAUAGCUGUAACAUUUCCAUUAGAAUGUUGUGAAUCACACCAUCAUUAUUUUCCUUUGUUAAUAUUUAGUUGGAUACA